ACGCUCGACACCUACGGGAGGCAGCAGUAGGGAAUUUUCGUCAAUGGGGGGAACCCUGAACGAGCAAUGCCGCGUGAGUGAAGAAGGUCUUCGGAUCGUAAAGCUCUGUUGUAAGAGAAAAACGGACUCCAUAGGGAAUGAUGGAGGAGUGAUGGUAUCUUACCAGAAAGCCACGGCUAACUACGUGCAAGCAGCCGCGGUAAUCUGAGCGGGCUGGCAAGGC
rnacentral:rRNA from 1 species